rnacentral:rRNA from 1 species
UGGUGCGGUCAUACCAGGGCUACUACACCGGAUCCCAUCAGAACUCCGCAGUUAAGCGCCCUUGGGCCGGAUCAGUACUGGGAUGGGUGACCU